UUUUCCCUGCUGUGUGCGUAUACGUCCAUUGUUUUGAUCCAACACUUUCACCUUGGGAGCACUGUCUCUGACCGUUGCGCGAAUGCCCCGCCUAGUUCGGGGACUUGUUAGGCGGUCAGGCACGCACCCACCUGCGUAAGCAGGUUCAAAACGCGGAUAAAACGGCAUGGCGGGGAUAAA
rnacentral:other from 1 species